rnacentral:rRNA from 1 species
CCUACGGGUGGCAGCAGUGAGGAAUAUUGGUCAAUGGCCGUGAGCCUGAACCAGCCAAGUCGCGUGAGGGAUGACGGCUCUAUGGGUUGUAAACCUCUUUUAUCAGGGAAUAAAGCGCGGGACGUGUGCCUUUUUGUAUGUACCUUAUGAAUAAGGAUCGGCUAACUCCGUGCCAGCAGCCGCGGUAAUACGGAGGAUCCGAGCGUUAUCCGGAUUUAUUGGGUUUAAAGGGUGCGUAGGCGGAAUUUUAAAUCAGCGGUGAAAGUCUGUGGCUCAACCAUAGAAUUGCCGUUGAAACUGGGAGGCUUGAGUGUGUUUGAGGCAUGCGGAAUGCGUGGUGUAGCGGUGAAAUGCUUAGAUAUCACGCAGAACCCCGAUUGCGAAGGCAGCCUGCCAAGCCAUGACUGACGCUGAUGCACGAAAGCGUGGGGAUCAAACAGGAUUAGAUACCCUUGUAGUC